rnacentral:rRNA from 1 species
AUUGAACGCUGGCGGCAGGCCUAACACAUGCAAGUCGGACGAGCGGCGGCCGGGUGAGUAAUGUAUGGGGACUGCCCGAUGGAGGGGGAUAACUACUGGAAACGGUCGCUAAUACCGCAUACUAUCAGAUAACCCCUAUGGGAUUAGCUAGUAGGUGGGGUAAAGGGUCACCUAGGCGACGAUCGCUAGCUGGUCUGAGAGGAGGAUCAGUCAAACUGGGACGGAGACACGGCCCAGACUCCAACGGAGGCAGCAGUGGGGAAUAUGGGAGAAUGGGCGCAAGCCUGAAGCAGAAAUGCCGCGUGAAUGAAGAAGGACUUCGGGUUGUAAAGUUAUGUUGGUAGAGAAGCGUUAACUAAAGAAGAAGCAACGGCUAACUCCGUGCCAGCAGCCGCGGUAAUUC